rnacentral:rRNA from 1 species
UACGUAGGGUGCAAGCGUUAAUCGGAAUUAUUGGGCGUAAAGCGCGCGCAGGCGGUCCUUUAAGUCUGAUGUGAAAGCCCACGGCUCAACCGUGGAGGGUCAUUGGAAACUGGGGGACUUGAGUACAGAAGAGAAGAGUGGAAUUCCACGUGUAGCGGUGAAAUGCGUAGGAGAUGUGGAGGAACACCAGUGGCGAAGGCGACUCUUUGGUCUGUAACUGACGCUGAGGCGCGAAAGCGUGGGGAGCAAACAG